rnacentral:rRNA from 1 species
UUGGAAGUAAAAGUCGUAACAAGGUCUCCCGUUGGUGAACCAGCGGAGGGAUCAUUA